rnacentral:rRNA from 1 species
CAAUAGCGUAUAUUAAAGUUGUUGCAGUUAAAAGCUCGUAGUUGGAUUUCGGGUUGCGCUUGCCGGUCCGCCCAUGUGGUGUGCACUGGCAGGCGCUUCCUUCCGUCUGGAGGCUGUCGGUUCCCUUAACUGGGCGCCGUCAGGGUUCAGAUCGUUUACUUUGAAAAAUUAGAGUGUUUAAAGCAGGCUAUUGCUCUGAAUACAUUAGCAUGGAAUAAUGGAAUAGGACUUUGGUUCUAUUUUGUUGGUUUUCGGAACCGAAGUAAUGAUUAAUAGGGACAGUUGGGGGCAUUCGUAUUUAAUUGUCAGAGGUGAAAUUCUUGGAUUUAUGAAAGACGAACUUCUGCGAAAGCAUCUGCCAAGGAUGUUUUCAUUAAUCAAGAACGAAAGUUAGGGGCGCGAAGACGAUCAGAUACCGU